rnacentral:rRNA from 1 species
UACGAGGGGGCUAGCGUUGUCCGGAUUUAUUGGGCGUAAAGGGCGCGUAGGCGGCCUGGCAAGUGGAUGGUGAAAUCCCUCGGCUUAACCGAGGAACUGCCAUCCAGACUGCUUGGCUUGAGACCGGGAGAGGUGAGUGGAAUUCCCAGUGUAGCGGUGAAAUGCGUAGAUAUUGGGAGGAACACCAGUGGCGAAGGCGGCUCACUGGACCGGUACUGACGCUGAUGCGCGAAAGCGUGGGGAGCAAACGGG